GACGAACGCUGGCGGCGUGCUUAACACAUGCAAGUCGAGCGGUAAGGCCCUUCGGGGUACACGAGCGGCGAACGGGUGAGUAACACGUGGGUGACCUGCCUCUAGCUCUGGGAUAAGCCUGGGAAACUGGGUCUAAUACCGGAUAUGACUCCACGGCGCAUGUUGUGGGGUGGAAAGCCUUGUGUGGCUAGAGAUGGGGCCCGCGGCCUAUCAGCUUGUUGGUGGGGUGANGGCCUACCAAGGCGACGACGGGUAGCCGGCCUGAGAGGGCGACCGGCCACACUGGGACUGAGACACGGCCCAGACUCCUACGGGAGGCAGCAGUGGGGAAUCUUGCGCAAUGGGCGAAAGCCUGACGCAGCGACGCCGCGUGAGGGAU
rnacentral:rRNA from 1 species